AAGCUUACCUGGCAGGGGAGAUACCAUCUUCCUGGCCUUGAAUGACUCGGUGUACCGAGAGGGUGAAGGCCUGUACCUUGCACUGAGGGCAGACUGACCCUUACAGGAGUCCAGAAAUGCCUCCAAAUGCAAAGAUCUUGGCUGCAUAAUUUAUGGCAAUGUGGGGGAUGGCUUUCACGCUUUCCCCCU
rnacentral:snRNA from 14 species